NGAGGGGUGGGGGGGCCCCUUUCGGCAAGAGGUCACGGUCCGUGGUCGCUCCUUCCACCGCCUCGCCUUGGUCUCCAGCCAUCCCGCCUUCUUGCUUCAUCCCUGGUCUCCGUCCGUCCUUCCUUCCUUCCUUCCCCACGUUUGAUCCGUCUCUCCGUCUCCGUGAUCCCUCCUUCUCCAGGUUUGACCCGUUCCUUCAUCCUUGAUCUCCAACCAUCCUUCCUUCUCCAGGUUUACACCGUCCCUGCUCUCAAUCCUUCCNCAUCCUUGAUCUCCAACCAUCCUUCCUUCUCCAGGUUUACACCGUCCCUGCUCUCCAUCCUUCCUUCUCCAGGUUUACACCAUCCCUGCUCUCCAUCUUUCCUUCUUUUUCCAGGUUUACACCAUCCCUGCUCUCCAUCCUUCCUUCCUUCUCCAGGUUUACACCAUCCCUGCUCUCCAUCUUUCCUUCCUUCUCCAAGUUUACACCGUCCCUGCUCUCCAUCUUUCCUUCUUUUUCCAGGUUUACACCGUCCCUGCUCUCCAUCCAUCCUUCUUUUUCCAGGUUUACACCAUCCCUGCUCUCAAUCUUUCCUUCUCCAGGUUUACACCAUCUCUGUUCUCCAUCCUUCCUCNUCCAGGUUUACACCAUCUCUGUUCUCCAUCCUUCCUUCCUUCUCCAGGUUUACACCAUCCCUGCUCUCCUUCCACCCUUCCUUCUCCAGGUUUACACCAUCCCUGCUCUCCAUCCAUCCUUCUUUUUCCAGGUUUACACCAUCCCUGCUCUNCCUCGCCUUGGUCUCCAGCCAUCCCGCCUUCUUGCUUCAUCCCUGGUCUCCGUCCGUCCUUCCUUCCUUCCUUCCCCACGUUUGAUCCGUCUCUCCGUCUCCGUGAUCCCUCCUUCUCCAGGUUUGACCCGUUCCUUCAUCCUUGAUCUCCAACCAUCCUUCCUUCUCCAGGUUUACACCGUCCCUGCUCUCAAUCCUUCCUUCUCCAGGUUUACACCAUCCCUGCUCUCCAUCUUUCCUUCUUUUUCCAGGUUUACACCAUCCCUGCUCUCCAUCCUUCCUUCCUUCUCCUGGCUCACACCAUCCCUGCUCU
rnacentral:lncRNA from 1 species